AAGCUGUGCUACCAUGGACUGGACUCCUCUCCUCCUCAUGCUCCUGUCUCACUGCACAGGUUCCCUGUCCCAGCCUGUGCUGACCCAGCCGCCCUCCCUGUCUGCAUCUCUGGGAACAACAGCCAGACUCACCUGCACCCUGAGCAGCGGCUUCAAUGUUGGAGGCUACUACAUAAAUUGGUUCCAGCAGAAGCCAGGGAGCCCUCCCCGGUAUCUCCUGUACUACUACUCAGACUCAGAUAAGCACCAGGGCCCCGGGGUCCCCAGCUGCUUCUCUGGGUCCAAAGAUGCCUCGGCCAAUGCGGGGCUUCUGCUCAUCUCUGGACCACAGCCUGAGGACGAGGCUGACUAUUACUGUGCUACAUAUCAUGGCAGUGGUUACUCACAGUGA